AGUGAACGCUGGCGGUAGGCCUAACACAUGCAAGUCGAACGGCAGCACAGUAAGAGCUUGCUCUUACGGGUGGCGAGUGGCGGACGGGUGUGGAAUACAUCGGAAUCUACUUUUUCGUGGGGGAUAACGUAGGGAAACUUACGCUAUUACCGCAUACGACCUACGGGUGCAAGCAGGGGAUCUUCGGACCUUGCGCGAUUGAAUGAGCCGAUGUCGGAUUAGCUAGUUGGCGGGGUAACGGCCCACCAAGGCGACGAUCCGUAGCUGGUCUGAGAGGAUGAUCAGACACACUGGAACUGAGACACGGUCCAGACUCGUACGGGAGGCAGCAGUGGGGAAUAUUGGACAAUGGGCGCAAGCCUGAUCCAGCCAUACCGCGUGGGUGAAGAAGGCCUUCGCGUAGUAAAGCUCUUUUGUUGGGAAAGAAAAGCAGCAGGUGAAUACCCCGCUGUUCUGACGGUACCCAAAGAAUAAGCACCGGCUAACUUCGUG
rnacentral:rRNA from 1 species